UGGCACCCCAACGGGGGACUCAAGAAUGGGGGACUUCGUGAGGGAUGCUGUUCAUGGGCCCAAAGUAGAAAAAGAAAAUAGAAGACUUGGCAACAUGAGAGCCUGCCACACCGCUGAACCUCAGUAAGUGAACAGCGAUUAUGGGACAAGAAAUUAGCCAGCAUGAGAUUUUUGCUGAAAGUUUAGAAAGGCCUUAAAGACAUGAAGAGUAAAGGAAAAAAUUAAGCAAUUGUGUUCAUUAGGGCUUAAUAAACUUUUAUCU
rfam:Cavia porcellus supercont2_9 genomic scaffold, whole genome shotgun sequence.